rnacentral:tRNA from 1 species
GGAUGGCUCAGUGGUUAAGAGCACUGUCUUACUCCUCCAGAGGUCCUGGGUUCAAUUCCCAGCAACCA